GUGCUCACUUUGGUAGCACAUAUAAUAAAAUGGGAAUGAUGCAGAGAAAGUUAGCAUAGAUCUUGUGAAAGAUGACAUGCAGAUUCCUGAAGUGUUCCUUAUUUUU